rnacentral:rRNA from 1 species
AACGAACGCUGGCGGCGUGCCUAACACAUGCAAGUCGAGCGAGAAAGCCCGCAAGGGUGAGUAAAGCGGCGCACGGGUGCGUAACACGUGGGUAAUCUGCCCUGGAGCCCGGAAUAACUCGCCGCAAGGCGUGCUAACGCCGGAUAAGACCACGGUAACUUCGGUUCCUGCGGGUAAAGGUGGCCUCUGUAUACAAGCUAUCUCUUCAGGAUGAGCCCGCGGCCCAUCAGCUAGUUGGCGGGGUAAUGGCCCACCAAGGCUACGACGGGUAGCUGGUCUAAGAGGACGAUCAGCCACACUGGAACUGAGACACGGUCCAGACUCCUACGGGAGGCAGCAGUGGGGAAUCUUGCGCAAUGGGCGAAAGCCUGACGCAGCAACGCCGCGUGUGUGAUGAAGGUCUUCGGAUCGUAAAGCACUGUCGGGAGGGACGAAUAAGGUGCCGGCUAACACUCGGCGCCGAUGACGGUGCCUCCAAAGGAAGCACCGGCUAACUCUGUGCCAGCAGCCGCUGUAACAC